GCUAACCAUGUGCGUGAAAAAUAGAAACAAUCAUCCUACAAAAUCAAUAAUGUCCUUUGAAGCCUGAGGUAGAGGGGUUUUAGUCGGUAGGUCCGAGGACUUCUUCCUCGGGAAUCCGACACUACCCAGUCGUACGGACGGCUGGGUGUCUUUUGAAGAUUUCCCCUCUUCCACGAAA
rfam:Agrilus planipennis Contig52911, whole genome shotgun sequence.